rnacentral:rRNA from 1 species
CGCAUCUGUGCAUGCAGCAUAUCAAUAAGCGGAGGAAAAGAAACUAACAAGGAUUCCCCUAGUAACGGCGAGUGAAGCGGGAAGAGCUCAAAUUUGAAAUCCUUAAAGGGUUUCCCUUUACGAAUUGUAGUUUAAAGAAGUGUUUUCUGUUGAGGUUUUGGUAAAAGUUCUUUGGAAUAGGACAUCAUAGAGGGUGAGAAUCCCGUAUUUGACCUUUACUUUCAACUUGUGAUACACUUUCAAAGAGUCGGAUUGUUUGGGAAUGCAGUCCAAAAUGGGUGGUAAAUUUCAUCUAAAGCUAAGUAUUGGCGAGAGACCGAUAGCGAACAAGUACCGUGAGGGAAAGAUGAAAAGAACUUUGAAAAGAGAGUUAAACAGUACGUGAAAUUGUCAAAAGGGAAGCGUUUGACACCAGGGUUGUUUUUCUGAAAAUCAAUUAAAGAACUGUUUAUGCUAAGUUGUUUAGACUUUAUCAGCUAUCUGCUUAGUUUUGAGCUUUUCUUUAAUGCACUUUUCAGUUAACAAGUCAACAUCAAUUUCUUUUGCUGUAAAAAAGCUUGAGGAAGGUGGCUUGAGAUUCGUCUUAAGUGUUUAUAGCCUCUUGCCUAUGCAGUCGGAGAGAUUGAGGUCUGCAGCGUAGAUCCUUCGGGGCUAAAUGCAUUUGUGCUAAGUUAUAGCAUUUUAUAGACAACUUGUUGACUAUGAUUUGUCUUGUAGCUUACUCGCUUAUGUUAUUUUACCUACGCUUAGGAUGUUGACGAGACUGUCGAUCUC